AUUGAACGCUGGCGGCAGGCCUAACACAUGCAAGUCGAGCGGAUGAAGAGAGCUUGCUCCUGGAUUCAGCGGCGGACGGGUGAGUAAUGCCUAGGAAUCUGCCUGGUAGUGGGGGAUAACGUCCGGAAACGGGCGCUAAUACCGCAUACGUCCCGAGGGAGAAAGUGGGGGAUCUUCGGACCUCACGCUAUCAGAUGAGCCUAGGUCGGAUUAGCUAGUUGGUGGGGUAAAGGCCUACCAAGGCGACGAUCCGUAACUGGUCUGAGAGGAUGAUCAGUCACACUGGAACUGAGACACGGUCCAGACUCCUACGGGAGGCAGCAGUGGGGAAUAUUGGACAAUGGGCGAAAGCCUGAUCCAGCCAUGCCGCGUGUGUGAAGAAGGUCUUCGGAUUGUAAAGCACUUUAAGUUGGGAGGAAGGGCAGUAAGUUAAUACCUUGCUGUUUUGACGUUACCAACAGAAUAAGCACCGGCUAACUUCGCG
rnacentral:rRNA from 1 species